UCACAAGAUUAAAAAUCNAANANUNGACGGGGGCCCGCCNCAGCGGUGGNAGCAUGUGUGUUUAAUUUGAAUCAAAGNGCAGAACNUACCAGCUNUUGACAUUCGGGGUAUNGGCAUUGGAGANGAUGNCNUUCAGUUAGGUUGNCUCCAGUACAGGUGNUGCAUGGCAUCGUCAGCUCGUGUAGUGAGAUGUUNNGUUAAGUCCCGCAACGAGCGCAACCCUCGCCCUUAGUUNCCAGCAUUUAGUUGGGCACUCUAAGGGGACGGCCGGUGAUAAGCCGAGAGGAAGGUGGGGAUGACGUCAAGUCCUCAUGGCCCUUAAGGGCUGGGCUACACACGUGNUACAAUGGNGGUGACAGUGGGCAGCGAGACAGCGAUGUCGAGCUAAUCUCCAAAAUCCAUCUCAGUUCGGAUUGCUCUCUGCAACUCGAGUGCANGAAGUUGGAAUCGCUAGUAAUCGCAGAUCAGCAUGCUGCGGUGAAUACGUUCCCGGGCCUUGUACACACCCCCCGUCACACCAUGGGAGUUGGUUUUACCCGAAGGUAGUGCGCUAACCGCAAGGAGGCAGCUAACCACGGUAGGGUCAGCG
rnacentral:rRNA from 1 species